UUCAUUCUCACUUUGACUCUAAGACCAAAGACAUUCUCCUCUUCUUUCUAGUGGAAAUGAACAAAAUGAAAGCAAAAAGUAAGGCAAAAUCUUCUCCCUGACAUCCAGCAAUGGAGCCAGUGACAACUGAGAGAAAGAAAAGCUCAUUCAUUCUCAAGCAUGGCCUGGCAUGGCACAACAAAGUGUUCUGGCACAAAGGGUGAUUUACAGUCUCUAUCCAGGGGCAGAAGAUUUCCAGGAAUUAGGGAGAUGGGGAAGCCAAGUCCCUUCCAUUCUUGAUGACACCCUGUCUGUGCCUGGUUCUGCAGGGUGAAACUAAUACUCAACUAAUGUCAGUGAGAUGAACAGAGCGCAAGAAAACAUUACAAGAAGAACUCUUCUAGAAAACAUGGAAACUUGAUGAUCAUUUGGAGGAAGGAAAAAGCACAGCAAUACUUUGCCCACAGCUGAAACUAAUAAAGUACUUUUUUUUCUUGUU